UACGUAGGGUGCAAGCGUUAAUCGGAAUUACUGGGCGUAAAGCGUGCGCAGGCGGUGAUGUAAGGCAGGUGUGAAAUCCCCGGGCUUAACCUGGGAACUGCAUUUGUGACUGCAUCGCUGGAGUGCGGCAGAGGGGGAUGGAAUUCCGCGUGUAGCAGUGAAAUGCGUAGAUAUGCGGAGGAACACCGAUGGCGAAGGCAAUCCCCUGCGCCUGCACUGACGCUCAUGCACGAAAGCGUGGGGAGCAAACAGG
rnacentral:rRNA from 1 species